UAUAAAGAUUCAUUAAUGAAAAAGAAUUCCUGGAAUAAAUUUGGAAAAAUAAUGCAUUGGACACCUGAUGAAUGUCAAAAUAGAUAGAUUAAGAGAACGAUUCUCGAGAGAAAGAAGAGAAAUAGAAGUGGAUUCAAUAAGUGGAAGUGGAGCAUCUCAAUGAAAGAGUUUUGUUUUAUAUAACAACAUGAAAUUUUUAAAUGGCUAUAUUCUACGAAGAAGAUACGUAUUGUAUAAAAACUACAAUUACAUAAACUAUAAUUUUAAUUUCUUUGUUAAAAUAUUAUAUUUACAUUAUUACAUUAUUUAACAUCAGUUUGUUAAUUAAUAUUAAUUUUUUUAUUCUUACAGAACUUUUACAAAUAUUUUACAAGAUAAGAAGAAUAAAGAAAAUAUUCCAAAAACUUCAUCUAUUCCAGAUAUUACUGCAACAAUUUGUUCUCCUACUAUUUCUAAAACUCAAGCUUCAUCAGUUCCAACAAACUUAUAUACAAAGUAUCCAUUAGCAACGUUAUGUCAUCAAUCACAACUUGCUUAAUAUUGCUGAAAUAAAUACAGAUAAACAGUUUGAAUCAUC